UGGGGAAUAUUGCACAAUGGGCGAAAGCCUGAUGCAGCGACGCCGCGUGAGGGAUGACGGCCUUCGGGUUGUAAACCUCUUUCGACAGGGACGAAGCGAGAGUGACGGUACCUGUAGAAGAAGCACCGGCUAACUACGUGCCAGCAGCCGCGGUAAUACGUAGGGUGCGAGCGUUGUCCGGAAUUAUUGGGCGUAAAGAGCUCGUAGGCGGUUUGUCGCGUCGACUGUGAAAACUGGGGGCUUAACUCUCAGCUUGCAGUCGAUACGGGCAGACUUGAGUUCGGUAGGGGAGACUGGAAUUCCUGGUGUAGCGGUGAAAUGCGCAGAUAUCAGGAGGAACACCGGUGGCGAAGGCGGGUCUCUGGGCCGAUACUGACGCUGAGGAGCGAAAGCGUGGGGAGCGAACAGG
rnacentral:rRNA from 1 species